AGCAGCGUGGCUCAGUGGAAAGAGCACGGGCUUGGAGUCAGAGGUCAGGGGUUCGAAUCCCAGCUCUGCCA
rfam:Ornithorhynchus anatinus chromosome 4, whole genome shotgun sequence.